rnacentral:lncRNA from 1 species
GGGCCACCAAGUUGCGGAUCAACUGAUAUAUCUAGUCACGGUUCAGAAAGUACAGCUUACAAUUCCAGUUCUUUGGCCUCCCUGACUCCUGUGAGUAUAUUGUGAUAAAUUCAUUUAGGAAUUAUGUUUGUACAAACAUCAAAACAUACAAUGACUUCCUGAAAUAACUUGUUGGCUCAAGUUAUUAUGCAACAAGAUCCAAUUUCCAUCUUGUUUGAUUUGUUUUCUAGUAGAUCUAACAAUAUUUUUAUUGGCUGCUGACCUUCUGGGAUAGGUUUACAGCAAAGGAGUUCUCCAGAAUCUAAAAGCUUGCACAUCUAUUAUAUGUAGCCUUCAAUUAGUUUAGCUUAUUGAGCUUUUUUCUCUCUAAAAUGGAUGAAAUUCAAGAUAGCGUUACAUUACAAAUAUGUAAACUAUGAUUGCCUGAUUACCAUGAAUACAGUGACUGGUGCCUCUGAGGCGCUUCAGUCCAAAAUGAAUCUGUCUUCCUAUGGCCUAAAUAUAUCUUCCAAUUCUUUAUUUUAUGAGUCCGUUACCAUAUUAUUGAGACAUAUUUCAUCCUUUCCAUGGGUUACAUAGCGAGGCUUGGAGGUUGAGAUGAAGCGACUUCGAAAAGAAUUAAAGAGAUCCAUGGAUAUGUUUAAAUCAGUUUGCGAAGAAGCUGUUGUAGCAAAAGAUAAGGUAAGAUUGGAUGUUUAUGAUCAUAUGUGAUCUUAUCAAUAAAAACUUAGCAACAUACUUCCAGUUUUCUUGACCGGGCCUUUUCUUUUCCCAGCUGAAGAAGCUUCAGGAAUGGAAAGAAGCAGAAGAGCGCAAAUUAGAGGAAGCCAAGCUUUCUGAGGAGGCAGCAGUGGCUUUGGCAGAGGCAGAAAGGGA